GGAACACUCUUUGAUAUGGAGAGUUUUCAGUUUGAAACUGACAUAGAAGGUGGGAAGCUACGGCGUGAUGUUUUAGCAGCUGGUAGUGUUGGCAAGGGACCUGCUCCUUCCGGAAUUGUAUCUAUGUUAUCUGGUGAAGAAGAAAUGUUUGCCUUCCGCCGAGCAGUCUCAAGAUUGAUUGAAAUGCAGACGCCACUAUACAUCGAAGGGGCUAAACAUUAUCAUCCCCAAUUCAAGGGCACAACAGACAGCUACCAAUUGGCCUCUCUCCUGACUUGA
rnacentral:misc_RNA from 1 species